rnacentral:rRNA from 1 species
AUUGAACGCUGGCGGCAGGCUUAACACAUGCAAGUCGAGCGGGGAAAAGUAGCUUGCUACUGGACCUAGCGGCGGACGGGUGAGUAAUGCUUAGGAAUCUGCCUAUUAGUGGGGGACAACAUCUCGAAAGGGAUGCUAAUACCGCAUACGUCCUACGGGAGAAAGCAGGGGACCUUCGGGCCUUGCGCUAAUAGAUGAGCCUAAGUCGGAUUAGCUAGUUGGUGGGGUAAAGGCCUACCAAGGCGACGAUCUGUAGCGGGUCUGAGAGGAUGAUCCGCCACACUGGGACUGAGACACGGCCCAGACUCCUACGGGAGGCAGCAGUGGGGAAUAUUGGACAAUGGGGGGAACCCUGAUCCAGCCAUGCCGCGUGUGUGAAGAAGGCCUUUUGGUUGUAAAGCACUUUAAGCGAGGAGGAGGCUACCGAGAUUAAUACUCUUGGAUAGUG